rnacentral:rRNA from 1 species
UCUAAAUCUAUUUUGCGAUGCUAGUGAGCGUUUUAAAUGGAUACGACUACAAUAUCUCAAUUUUUUUUCUCAAUACAGUUGAAUGAAUGAUGUAAUUCGAACGAUUAUACACGGAAAUCGAGGAUUUUAAGUUGUUUCUGUAUCUGUUUUUAUCCUUCCUCGCGUUUAAAAGCCAAUUCCGCGUUAUUUUUGAUGUUUGUUUGAAAAAUUGUUCGUGCAGCCCCUAUGAAAUCAUUUGUAUUGUAAAAAAAAACUAUUUAAAUCCUAAUCCUUUUUUUUYCUUUCUAUUAGUUUCUUAAUUAGUUUUUAAUAGAUAAAUAGAAAAUGCUUUCGACAAUAUGAGUUAUAUACAAAUAGUGUGCGAAUG